GAUUUCAAAUUGAAAUAUGGUCAAAAACAAAGUUGAUCCUCUCAUCAGGAUCUACAACUUUUAUUUCGGUCACUUCUUCAUCCGACAAAGUGAAUUGUUAUACUAUUCACAAUAAUCAUAUUUAUCUCAUGUGGUUUAUAAAUAUCAAAACAGAUAUGUCAAUAUUGUAAACAGUGGUACUAUUAGACUUUAUCGGAUGAAGAAGUGACCAAAAUAAAAGUUGUAGAUCCUGAUGAGAGGAUCAACUUUGUUUUUGACCAUAUUUCAAUUUGAAAUC
rnacentral:pre_miRNA from 1 species